rnacentral:rRNA from 1 species
AACGGGGGGUACUAGCGUUAUUCGCCAUGAUUGGGCGUAAAGGGCAUGCAGACGGUACCAUUAGUUUUGGGUGAAAGAGUAAACGCGCUACGUUUUAAACAUCCCUUUCACUAUGUUACUAGAGUUAAAUGGAAGAUCAGGGUACCUUCGAAGGAGAGCUGAGAUGCAUAGAUAUUGACAGGGACCAUCAAUUGGCGAAAGCGCUGAUCUAAUUUUUCUGACGUUAAGGUGCUAAAGCAUGGGUAUCGAUCGGG